rnacentral:rRNA from 1 species
AGAAUCAACGCUGGCGGCGUGCCUCAGACAUGCAAGUCGAACGAUUAAAGCUCUCUUCGGAGAGUGUAUAGAGUGGCGCACGGGUGAGUAACACGUAAGUAAUCUACCUUUGAGUGGGGGAAUAACGUCCGGAAACGGACGCUAAUACCGCAUAAUGCAGCGGCAUCGCAAGAUGACAGUUGUUAAAGAUUUAUCGCUUGAAGAGGAGCUUGCGGCAGAUUAGCUUGUUGGUAAGGUAAUGGCUUACCAAGGCUACGAUCUGUAACCGGUCUAAGAGACGGUCGGUCACACUGACACUGAACAACGGGUCAGACUCCUACGGAGGCAGCAGUCGGGAAUUUUGGGCAAGU